UACGUAGGGUGCAAGCGUUGUCCGGAAUUAUUGGGCGUAAAGAGCUCGUAGGCGGUUUGUCGCGUCUGCUGUGAAAACCCGAGGCUCAACCUCGGGCCUGCAGUGGGUACGGGCAGACUAGAGUGCGGUAGGGGAGAUUGGAAUUCCUGGUGUAGCGGUGGAAUGCGCAGAUAUCAGGAGGAACACCGGUGGCGAAGGCGCCACUCUGGGCCGAAACUGACGCUGAGGAGCGAAAGCGUGGGUAGCAAACAGG
rnacentral:rRNA from 1 species